rnacentral:rRNA from 1 species
GAUGAACGCUGGCGGCGUGCUUAACACAUGCAAGUCGAACGGAAAGGCCCAAGCUUGCUUGGGUACUCGAGUGGCGAACGGGUGAGUAACACGUGGGUGAUCUGCCCUGCACUUCGGGAUAAGCCUGGGAAACUGGGUCUAAUACCGGAUAGGACCACGUCUUGCAUGUUGUGGUGGGAAGUUUUUUGGGUGUGGGAUGAGGUCUCGGCGUAUCAGCUUGUGGGUGGGGUGUUGGCCUACAAAGGCGCCGACGCGGAGCCGGCCUGAGAGGGUGUACGGCCACAUUGGGAGUGAGAGACGGCCCAGACACCUACGGGAGGCAGCAGUGGGGAAUAUUGCACAAUGGGGGCGAGCCUGAGGCAGAGACGCGGCGUGUGGGAUGACGGCCUUCGGGUUGUAAACACCGUUCGCGAGGGACGAAGCGUGUUUGUGACGGUACCUGGAGAAGAAGCACCGGCUAACUACGUG